CCCAACCCCAGCACAGACUGGACAUGGGGCAUCUCCCAGGCACCCCCCACGCCCACACCUGGGCCAGCUCCUGGACAGGCCCAAUUCUGGCAGUCUGUGUCCUGUUCUCCUGCCUCCCACUGGGCAGCGCUGUUGAUUUUGGGGUGGCAGUGGUGCCCCCCCACCCCACAGUGGGGCAGACGGUGACCCUGCUGGUGGGGGGGGCCCGGGGAGUCGCCCAGAGCUGCACCUGGUACCGCAGAACCUCCACAGCCGAGUCCGCUCGGAUCCUGACCUUCACCUCCCCGGACACGCGGAGCCAGGGACCCUGGGGGGUGACUGCUCCCUGCACAUCGCGGGGUUAACCCCCCAGGACGACGGGAGCUUCACCCUCGUCGUCCGCGCCAGGGGCCGGUCCCACGUGCUCUUUGUGCGCCUGCAGCUCGCCGGGUGACUGGACGGUGUCUGGAUUUGCUGCCCCCCACCAGGGGGUCCUGGGGGCUGGUACCGGAUCCCAGACCCCUCCCCCACAUCCCCCAAGUGCCCCCUCCCCAGACCC